GACGAACGCUGGCGGCGUGCUUAACACAUGCAAGUCGAACGGAAAGGCCCCUUUGGGGGUACUCGAGUGGCGAACGGGUGAGUAACACGUGAGUAACCUGCCCUUGACUUCGGGAUAACUUCAGGAAACUGGGGCUAAUACCGGAUAGGAAUCCUUGCUGCAUGGUGGGGGUUGGAAAGCUUCGGCGGUUUUGGAUGGACUCGCGGCUUAUCAGCUUGUUGGUGGGGUAGUGGCUUACCAAGGCUUUGACGGGUAGCCCGCCUGAGAGGGCGACCGGCCACAUUGGGACUGAGAUACGGCCCAGACUCCUACGGGAGGCAGCAGUGGGGAAUAUUGCACAAUGGGCGGAAGCCUGAUGCAGCAACGCCGCGUGCGGGAUGACGGCCUUCGGGUUGUAAACCGCUUUCAGCAGGGGCGAAGCUUGUGGUGACGGUACCUGCAGAAGAAGCACCGGCUAACUACGUG
rnacentral:rRNA from 1 species